AGACUUGAUCGUGAUCCUGAGCUUGUGGAUGAACUCAAGGGUUAUGCUUCAAUGGCAAUCAAGAAGCACUUUCCCGACGAUGUAAUAUCUUAUACCAUUUGUUUUGCUCUUUGCCUGCUGGCCUGCCCUUCCUCUAUAUUGAAUUGCAUAAUAUUGGUUGCAGGGGAAAGAACGCAAGGUACUGGGGAUUGUGAAGGUGAAUGCAGGUGGAUGU
rnacentral:lncRNA from 1 species